GUGUUGAAAAACUUGUAAUUAUAUGACAUUUCCAUUGGAACACUGGAAAAGGUAUGACAAAUGUGUAAUCUGAAGAUUCGUUUUAGUGUCAAUAGUUUCACUUUUAGUCACCAGUGACACCAACAACUGUAACAGCAAUCUACUGGACUGCAUUUAGUUCAUCUUCUGAGUGUAGGGCUACUAGAAUGAAGUUAUUUUAACCUCAGACUUUUUUAUGCAUAUAUUCACAUGGCACAAGCACAUACUGCUGUAGUGUUGUUGCUGUGGGUCUUAGGACAGCAAGUUGUGUGUUUACAAUGUUCAUAUAUUUAAAAAAAAACAUGCCUUGUUUGAAGAAUGAUUCUUUAUUGAGAUGGGUUCCAUGCUGUAUACAGUACCUUGAUUUCUUCCCAUGAAUCUAUCCCUAUGAUAAACACAUGGCGUAUGGUAUGGUAUGGGUUGAUAUGGGUUGUAUGUGUAUGGUAUGGUAUGGUAUGGUAUGGGUUGUAUGUGUAUGGUAUGGUAUGGGUUGUAUGUGUAUGGUAUGGUAUGGAAUGGAAUGGUAUGGUAUGGUAUGGGUUGGUAUGGGUUGUAUGUGUAUGGUAUAGUAUGGUAUGGUAUGGUAUGGGUUGAAUGUGUAUGGUAUGGUAUGGGUUGUAUGUGUAUGGUAUGCUAUAGUAUGGUAUGGUAUGCUAUGGUAUGGGUUGGUAUGGGUUGUAUGUGUAUGGUAUAGUAUGGUAUGGUAUGGGCCAUAUGUGUAUGGUAUGGUAUGGUAUGGUAUGGUAUGGUAUGGUAUGGUAUGGUAUGGGUUGAAUGUGUAUGGCAUGGUAUGGUAUGGUAUGGGUUGUAUGUGUAUGGUAUGGUAUGGUAUGGGUUGUAUGUGUAUGGUAUGGUAUGGUAUGGGUUGUAUGUGUAUGGUAUGGUAUGGUAUGGGUUGAAUGUGUAUGGUAUGGUAUGGGUUGUAUGUGUAUGGUAUGGUAUGGUAUGGGUUGAAUGUGUAUGGUAUGGGCCAUAUGUGUAUGGUAUGGUAUGGUAUGGUAUGGGUUGUAUGGGUAUGGUAUGGUAUGGGUUGAAUGUGUAUGGUAUGGUAUGGGUUGUAUGUGUAUGGUAUGGUAUGGUAUGGUAUGGUAUGGGUUGUAUGGUAUGGAAUGGUAUGGUAUGGGUUGUGUGUGUAUGUGUAUGGUAUGGUAUGGGUUGUGUGUGUAUGGUAUGGUAUGGUAUGAACUCCAAUUUGAGCAGCAGCAGCUGAAAAAUGAGCUCCUACAAAUAUUGAAAUUUACAUGGUUUUUAGAGUGAAGUACAUCGGAAAAAAGCAAAAGAAAACUGCAAUACUGAAUAGGAGAAAAAACAAGCAAC
rnacentral:lncRNA from 1 species